CCUACGGAGGCAGCAGUGAGGAAUAUUGGUCAAUGGGCGCGAGCCUGAACCAGCCAAGUAGCGUGAAGGAUGACUGCCCUACGGGUUGUAAACUUCUUUUAUAAAGGAAUAAAGUGAGGCACGUGUGCCUUGUUGGAUGUACUUUAUGAAUAAGGAUCGGCUAACUCCGUGCCAGCAGCCGCGGUAAUACGGAGGAUCGGAGCGUUAUCCGGAUUUAUGGGGUUUAAAGGGAGCGUAGGUGGGUUGUUAAGUCAGCGGUGAAAGUUUGCGGCUCAACCAUAAAAUUGCAGUUGAUACUGGCAGACUUGAGUGUGUUUGAGGUAGGCGGAAUGCGUGGUGUAGCGGUGAAAUGCAUAGAUAUCACGCAGAACUCCGAGUGCGAAGGCAGCCUACUAAGCCACAACUGACACUGAAGCACGAAAGUGUGGGGAUCAAACAGGAUUAGAUACCCGUGUAGUC
rnacentral:rRNA from 1 species